AACGAGAUGUCCAGGAUUGGAGGUUGAAAAGAUUUCACUACAGUGUUCUGCAAUAGUUGGAGCAGAUAACUUUCAGUGUAGCCACAGCCAUGGACUCCAGAUUUCCAGAUUUUCAAGAACUGGACCUGGAACCCGAAAGAGCUUGUCAGGAUGCGGCAAGAACACUGGAGGUAGAUUUUUUUUUUAUUUUUGAAUUUUGGGACUGUUGACCUUGCUGUGAGAAAAGAGACAACGACUGAGCAAGCACUACCACCAGCAUUGUUACUGGGAAUUAGAAGACCUGAGUUUCUGUCCAGACCCUCAGUGCAAACUGAGGACGCUCCAUCCAAAGUGAAUCAUGAUAGCAGACUUCUUGAAAGCAGGGUCCUUGUUUAGUGCAUCUUUGCCCACAUAAACCACAACAUGUCAAGAUGCAUUUAUUAGGAAGGAGGAGUUUAGAGAGCAGGCUAUCAGAAUAACCACUCAUCCUGUGCCUCCUGAUUGCUGAGUGUUCACCUGGACCUUCUGACUACCUUCCCUGUGCUAUUCCAUCAGCCUACAGACCUGGUACCUGGAUUUUUGCCCGAGAUGAUUCCUACCACCUUACUACUGAAGAAGACACCCAUUCCAGUGGACCACUGUGACCCAGGAGGCAUUCAGCCAUCAUGAUGUGGCCUUUACCUCCACUCCUGUCCUGUUCUACCCAGAUUCAGCACAGCCCUUUAUAGUGAAGUCAGAGUCCUCAAGCCAAAUAGCUAAAGCUGUUUUAUCACAACAAAGGCCUAGUUUGUUCCAUGAGUGUGCAUUUCAUUUCUUCAGUUAAAGCCUUCAGAGACACACAAUAAAUUUGGACCAGGGGAUUUUUUAGUUAUUAAUGCUCUCUGAAGAAAGGCAACAUCUUUUUGAGAGCAGCAUUGGACCACACCCCACAAUCUCAAAUGGUUGAAAUUCGUGAACAUCUAGGAUCCCGUGAAGGUCACUGGACCCU
rnacentral:antisense_RNA from 1 species